rnacentral:tRNA from 1 species
ACUCUCCUAGUACAAAAUAGUACCAGUGACUUCCAAUCACUAAAUUUUAGCUAUACCCUAAAGAAGAGUA